rnacentral:rRNA from 1 species
AAAGUUGAAAAGAACUUUGAAGAGAGAGUUCAAGAGUACGUGAAACCGUUCAGGGGUAAACCUGAGAAACCCAAAAGAUCGAAUGGGGAGAUUCAUCGUCAGCUCAUUUUGUAUAUAUGCAGGUUAUGAUAUGGGUUACUACUUGUAGUAUUGCCUAUACAUUCUUGUAUAUUUCAUUGCAAAGUGUUGUCGGCGUGCACUUCUCCCCUAGUAGGACGUCGCGACCCGUUGAGUCUCGGUCUACGGCCCAAGUGGGAGCUUUUGAUAAAUUUUAUUUAUUCAAAAACCCUUGGUGUCUCCUGACUGGAACUCGGCGGUAUACGCAUGGUAUUGAGCCGCUUAUUAUAUUUGCGUUCUUGUCCAUCGCAAGCGAGGUUAGUUACUGAUAGUUCGGACCUAGUGCCGUCGUUGGUGCUGACCAGCUGUUGGCUGUAUGGAAUUCUAGAACUGGCUCUAUGAAAUACCGGUCAGCGAUGCUAUUGCUUUGGGUACUUUCAGGACCCGUCUUGAAACACGGACCAAGGAGUCUAACAUGUACGCGAGUCAUUGGGAUAAUUAUAAAUUAAACCUAAAGGCGUAAUGAAAGUAAAGGUCGACCUUGUGUCGACUGAGGGAAGAUGGGCUAUGUUAAGAUAUAGCUCCGCACUCCCGGGGCGUCUCAUUCUCAUUGCGAGAAGAGGCGCACCUAGAGCGUACACGUU